AGAGUUUGAUCCUGGCUCAGGAUGAACGCUGGCGGCGUGCUUAACACAUGCAAGUCGAACGAAGCGCUUAAACGGAUUUCUUCGGAUUGAAGUUUUUGUGACUGAGUGGCGGACGGGUGAGUAACGCGUGGGUAACCUGCCUCAUACAGGGGGAUAACAGUUAGAAAUGACUGCUAAUACCGCAUAAGCGCACAGUACCGCAUGGUACGGUGUGAAAAACUCCGGUGGUAUGAGAUGGACCCGCGUCUGAUUAGGUAGUUGGUGGGGUAACGGCCUACCAAGCCGACGAUCAGUAGCCGACCUGAGAGGGUGACCGGCCACAUUGGGACUGAGACACGGCCCAAACUCCUACGGGAGGCAGCAGUGGGGAAUCUUCCGCAAUGGACGAAAGUCUGACGGAGCAACGCCGCGUGAGUGAUGAAGGAUUUCGGUCUGUAAAGCUCUGUUGUUUAUGACGAACGUGCAGUGUGUGAACAAUGCAUUGCAAUGACGGUAGUAAACGAGGAAGCCACGGCUAACUACGUGCCAGCAGCCGCGGUAAUACGUAGGUGGCGAGCGUUGUCCGGAAUUAUUGGGCGUAAAGAGCAUGUAGGCGGCUUAAUAAGUCGAGCGUGAAAAUGCGGGGCUCAACCCCGUAUGGCGCUGGAAACUGUUAGGCUUGAGUGCAGGAGAGGAAAGGGGAAUUCCCAGUGUAGCGGUGAAAUGCGUAGAUAUUGGGAGGAACACCAGUGGCGAAGGCGCCUUUCUGGACUGUGUCUGACGCUGAGAUGCGAAAGCCAGGGUAGCGAACGGGAUUAGAUACCCCGGUAGUCCUGGCCGUAAACGAUGGGUACUAGGUGUAGGAGGUAUCGACCCCUUCUGUGCCGGAGUUAACGCAAUAAGUACCCCGCCUGGGGAGUACGGCCGCAAGGUUGAAACUCAAAGGAAUUGACGGGGGCCCGCACAAGCGGUGGAGUAUGUGGUUUAAUUCGAAGCAACGCGAAGAACCUUACCAGGGCUUGACAUCCCACUAACGAAGCAGAGAUGCAUUAGGUGCCCUUCGGGGAAAGUGGAGACAGGUGGUGCAUGGUUGUCGUCAGCUCGUGUCGUGAGAUGUUGGGUUAAGUCC
rnacentral:rRNA from 1 species